GACGAACGCUGGCGGCGUGCUUAACACAUGCAAGUCGAACGGAAAGGCCCUGCUUGUGUGGUGUGCUCGAGUGGCGAACGGGUGAGUAACACGUGAGUAACCUGCCCUUCACUUUGGGAUAACUUCAGGAAACUGGGGCUAAUACCGGAUAGGAGCUGCUGCUGCAUGGUGGGGGUUGGAAAGUUUCGGCGGUUGGGGAUGGACGCGCGGGUGAUCAGCUUGUUGGUGGGGUAGUGGCUUACCAAGGCUUUGACGGGUAGCCGGCCUGAGAGGGUGACCGGCCACAUUGGGACUGAGAGACGGACCAGACUGCUACGGGAGGCAGCAGUGGGGAAUAUUGCACAACGGGAGGAAGUCUGAUGCAGCAACGCCGCGUGCGGGAUGCCGGCCUUCGGGUUGUAAACCGCUUUCGCCUGUGACGAAGCGUGAGUGACGGUAAUGGGUAAAGAAGCACCGGCUAACUACGUG
rnacentral:rRNA from 1 species